UUUUUACGAGUGUCCGCCUAUAUUAAAAAUGCUCGCUUCAAUAAUUUGUCGUCUCGAAAAAAGUGAUUCGUAAGGCAUCUGAUUCAAAGAACUAUUGAAUCUUCAUGUGUGGCUUUUGCUAUCUCCAAUUAUUUGUGUUUGUUUUUGCCACCUUAAAACUAAGAAGAAAUUUUUGCAAAGCUUCGCAUGGAAUUCGCUUAAAUAUUGUGGAAUGACCACGAAGCAACAUUGUGAUCAUUGAGUUCACACACGCAAGCUGAUAAGGCUGACAGAAACACGUUUGGCAGCAAUCAAAAGCCUGUUAUAGGUCACAUGAGCCAUUUAUCAUUUUAGUAUCCACCCCGAUCGAGUUCAAAAGACUUUGACUCUGAAAAGGAGGCUGAGAUCAAUACCUAUAUGCUAUUUUCAAUCAUAUGUCAAAGGCUUGUAAUCGGAUGGAAUUAUCUUUGACGAUCAAAAUUAAAGUUGAUUUCAAGAAUGUUAUCGUGCUCAAUACAUAGGCAGAAAACUAGGACGUCGUUACAUUCUUACAAAACCGACAUAUACAAUACUGCUCUUGCGCUUUACCUGAAGGAUACCUUCGAAAGUACCCAAGAUAAAUUCGAUAUUACGUCGAUUCAAACUAAAACUAUGCCAGCUGGCACAUGAAUGCCACAAUUGAUCUCGAAAACGCAAACGCUCGAGUUGAGAAAAGAUCAAACGUUUCGUCGUGGAAAUGUUCUAGAAUGUUGUGCCAUAUUCCACAGAAAAAAAGCGAAUCAUAUGCAUUCAAAGAACUUUCGUGACUUUUCUUACAAGUAUGCGUGCCAGGCACUGCUACCUCACGGGAUAGCCUAGCCCUAGAGUCGCAGGCACCCAACAAAUAUAAACAAGACAUGCGCGAUGCAAGGCUCGUUCAAACGACAAAAAGGUCAGCGAUGAGCUGUUGCAGACGACGAGAAAAGCAAAGGGAAUGAUUUUGGUUUCUUGAAUUUAUAAGCUAUAAUCCUUUCAGCUGUUUCCCAGAGCAAAAGUGAACAUCGUCGAUUUUGUUCAAGUAGCUAUACUGGCCCAGGAAACUGAACCUGAAGAUCUUAGUUCAACACACCCGGAAAAGUUCAAUCUCCACGUAAUAUAAGAGCGAUAUUCUUAACUGAUAUCAAAUAAAGAAACGAUAUUCGAAUCAUCAUGCCCGUAUUUAUAUGAAAAUUUCGCCGAUCAAAUUGUUUGCACUGCUUGUGCCUAUGUUGCCGAAAAGCGCAUUGUCUUUUGAAGUAGUGUAGCUACAUGCAUGGCUCAGAAAUGCGAGGUAACAAAUAUUGAAUGCCGCAUGAUUUUAAAGAUUAUAAAAAGAUUGGAAGAGUCGUCGACUGAGGGUUGGUACACCAACAGAUAGAGCAGAAAAAAGAAUAUAGUUGCAACGAGCGUCUUGCUGAAUAGAACAACCUUACAGAUGUUUCUGACGAUGUUUUUCGUUAUAUUUAAAGGAAAUACUGCGUACUAUAAGAGCAAGACCUUGAGGAAAAGCUUUAGCUUUUGUGCAUUUUUUACGACGUAUGUCAAAAGUGAAUUAAAAACUAAGGAUAGUCCAGAUGUGCUACAGUUUCAACCUAAUAUUUAGAAACAGAGGAAUUGAUUUUUAAUGAUUACUUUUUUUUUAAGAAAACUUGUACUCUCACCCUGAGUUCCGUUUUCCGCUAUUUCUUUAAAAAAAUCCAAACUGACAUCGUCCAUCUCGUCCAUGUUUCCUCACUGCAAUUUGUGAUGCGCAACUGCGCACCAAUUGCAAACGAAUCGAUUUUCUUCAAGCCGGUUGUUUAUUAUGCAAACGACCCGGCUAAAUACGAAAGGAUAUGAUUACAUUGUUGACAUACGCAACUAUACUCACUUGCACCCGAGUCCCGAGAAAACCGUCACACCGGUCAUAUUUAUUGAGCAUGCGCUUAGAGAAAUCGAUCGUUAGUGUUCUCACUUUUAAGGUAUUGUCCUCAAAAUUAGAACUUUUAAGAAAAUUAAUGUGUUUGUCUAAUUCCAAUUGCCUGAAUGUCGUUUUUAUGGCUUUUUGAUUACAAGCACGAAGCAAGGUUAUAACACUAAAAUAAGAGAAAAAAUACCAGCAGACACUUUUGGUGUCUGUGUGAACAGGCCCUGUAGUAAUUUUUACCAAUUUUUAGAAUUUCAAAAGAAUUAUGAGAAAUUUUUGCGCGUUUUCUAGGGAGCCCGAAAUUUUGCUCGUGUUUAUUCAUGCAUUCAGUUUUUGCCGACUGAUUUCUUCAGAAAACCAAAUAACUUUCAAAAGAAAUCGGUCGAGACUAGGACACGACAGAGUAUAUGAAUAACUUCCUCUCCCUCAUUAAAGUUCUAGCUACGGCCUUUGACAAGUUUGUAUAACAAUAUAAUUUGCGUCGAUUUUCGUACAUGGAUUUGUAGUUGAUAUAUACUGCGAAUGAUAAUUAUAAGAAGCACCUCUGUUUCUAGAGCCCAAGCCCCAACGAUUGAUGAUAAAAACGAGAACGGAUUUUUGUGUCACCCAAAGUUUGACAUUUUGUUUUUAUCAAAACCCAUACUAAAUUAGGUAUAAUUAUAUAUUUUUGACAUACAAACUAUCAAUCAACGGAAAUACCCUUGGUUUAACUGUAAAAUGAAACGGAGUUGAAUAUCUUUGCGAUGACGUGAUUAUAUGAAAGACGACCGAAUCACUUAAAGCCUGUUUCUCAUAUAGUCGUCCAAGUCAUCUCAAUGGAGCCUUUUUAGUAUUGUAGAUGAAUUUCUGUUCUAUUGGCUUGUGUUCUAGAAACAACUGCGACGAAUGAAUCGACUCGGACGACUAUUUGAGAACCAGGCUUUAUGAGCAAAAAGUUUCAGGUUAUUUAAUUAUUUUGUCUGCGAUAGCAAUGCAUAAAGACAAUUUAGCGAUAUCGUUGAAGAGAAUACCGUAAUCAUAGGCUUUGUUAUAGAAAUCUAGUCAUACGAUGUGUAUAUAAAGGCCAGGAAUGAGUCGAAUGUUCUCAAGUUGUUAGCCAUGGUGCUUUCAUUCACCAAAUUUGAAAAGCAUAAGCCGGUAAGUUCCAAGGUUAAUGCCAUAUAAGGAGUAUGAAUUGUACAGACAAAAAAAUACUGUGCGUCAAUUGUGGCAAUUAUUGAAUCUGCAAUCAACUUCCUUGAUCAGAGAAUGAAUAUUGAAGAAGAUAUUAAUAUAAGCAACAUGAAGGCAAUCCUUAAUGCAAAGUUACCUGUAGAGUUGAUUACUGCCAGUAGAUAUCUUUUCAGCCAGAUUUUCGGAGCUGAUGAUGUCUGCGAGUCAUGGGCAAAAUAAGCAGUAAGAAUCAUGUUGCUGACAUUAAUAAUGUUGAUACAUUUUAGGCUUUACGCUCGACAAAACUGACGCACGCUAGCUAUGCAAUUCUUAAAAAGUUUCUUUCUGUAUUCUCAACGCAAACACCACACAGCAUUGCAACGGAUGGAGCUGUAUCACAUUAUAACGAUAUCAAGACAUUUGACAAAACAUCUUAAACCAGACACAAUCUACUCAAUCAUGCAAGUUUUGCAAAAUAGAAAAGGGACUUGUGUUUUUGAGCCAAGACCUGCAAUUCAUGGAUGCAAUUAAGUACCAAACGAGGAAGUUUAUCAAAACAGAGAUUUUAUUAGAAAAUCUUUUGUGCGUGAAUGCGGAUUCCUUUAAAUUUUAUAUAAUGUAGUUACUUAUUAGUUUUUUUGUCGAAAAACUACUUUUGCUCAAUAAAUGCGACCAAAAUGUGAAUAAACAUCGUUGUAAUUUAAGUUAACUCUAUCUUUGUCUUGACGAUGGGCCCUUACUUUCACUUGAACCCCACUAGUCAAUAUUCCUUAAAAAUGCUUGCAACGCUGAAAGUUGCGGUGAGAAACUCUUAAAGAAAAAUGGAAGUUCUAAUGACUUUACAUGUUGCUUUUCUUGAUGUUUCAACAAUAAUAAAAAUUAAGAAACCCAUA